rnacentral:rRNA from 1 species
GAUGAACGCUAGCGGCAGGCCUAAUACAUGCAAGUCGAACGGUGUAGCAAUACACAGUGGCGCACGGGUGCGUAACACGUAUGCAACCUACCUUACAUUGGGGGAUAGCCUUUCGAAAGGGAGAUUAAUACCGCAUAAGACAGUAACUAGGCAUCUAGUAGCUGUUAAAGAUUUAUCGAUGUAAGCUGGGCAUGCGUCCAAUUAGUUAGUUGGCGAGGUAAUGGCUCACCAAGACGAUGAUUGGUAGGGGAACUGAGAGGUCAAUCCCCCACACUGGCCCUGGGAUACGGGCCAGACUCCUACGGGAGGCAGCAGUAGGGAAUAUUGGGCAAUGGGCGCAAGCCUGACGCAGCGACGCCGCGUGAGGGAGGAAGGCCUUCGGGUUGUAAACCUCUUUCAGGAGGGACGAAGCUACUCGGGUGAAUAGCCCAGAGGGUGACGGUACCUCCAGAAGAAGCCCCGGCUAACUACGUGCCAGCCGCCGCUGUAAGAC